AAAAAGCAUACAGAAAGCAACAAAUAGGCACCGGAGGAAAGCACACAAUGCAUGAAGACGGUAGAAUACAUGCCGGGGAAGAAAGGAACCAUACACAGUAACUGGAAAGGUACCUGAAACAGCCACAAGCCAAAAUCAUAUCUCAAUAGCAACCACAACAACUCCGCCAUGAAAGUAUAAGUAAGUUUGAGACACAUAAACAGCCAGGAGCAACUCUUAGAAAUAGUUCAUCAUAAACAUGUAAAAUUGUAAAUUAAUGAUCAAUAUGUAUGAGAAUGUACCAUUAAAAAUACUGUUAUAUAGAUUGAAACUGCUUUAUGCAUCACUUCAAGCAGGAACGUUUGGUUAGAAAUAAUUUAGAUACUUUGAAGGAUAAUGCAGUAAACCAGGACUAGGUAAGAAGUUCCCAAUCCCAUGUUUGUCUGAGGGUGAGAUGAGGGAGAAGAGAGAGGGUUUUGGUUUGAAACGGCGUCGUCAAAAAAU